GUCGGAGUGGCGAAAUUGGCAGACGCGCUAGCUUUAGGAGCUAGUGCCGCAAGGCGUGCGGGUUCGAGUCCCGCCUCCGACA
rfam:Candidatus Sungbacteria bacterium RIFCSPHIGHO2_02_FTLL_49_20 rifcsphigho2_02_scaffold_13292, whole genome shotgun sequence.